rnacentral:rRNA from 1 species
UACGUAGGUGGCAAGCGUUGUCCGGAUUUAUUGGGCUUAAAGGGUGCGUAGGCGGUCUAUUAAGUCAGUGCUGAAAUAUCCCGGCUUAACCGGGAGGGUGGCAUUGAUACUGAUGGACUUGAGUAAAGUUGAGGUAGGCGGAAUUGACGGUGUAGCGGUGAAAUGCUUAGAUAUCGAGAGGAACACCUGCGGCGAAGGCGGGUUGCUGGGCUGACACUGACGCUGAGGCGCGAAAGCUAGGGGAGCGAACGGG